UAUGUGUGUGUGUGUGUGUGUGUGUGUGUGUGUAGACAUAUAUAUAUACCCUCUUCUUGAACUAAUUAAUAAUUGCUAAAAUAAUAUUUCAAAAACUCAAUCCAGGAUUUACCCUCUGGCCAAAAGGAGGCUGUAAUUACAGUGGAGCCUUCUAAGAAUUACUCAGAGUCCCUUAUUCCCUAAGGAAGUACAUUUUUUUGGCCAAGGAUUUGUAUUUUGUCAAAUUAAGAUGAACAACAACAUCUUAGUAGCAGGUAAUGUUUCUUCAAUGGAACAUUGCGCCAUUCCAUCAGGACAGCGGCUCCUGGAUGGUGUGGGACAUGGUAAACCCGACAGAUGCAGAAAAAGAUCCAGGUGCCCUAGACCGAGGGAUCCAGUCUUCUAACCCACCCCACUGUGUGCGCAGGUGUCACCCAACCCUCUUUACAUUGUUCUGUGGGAUCUGGAUCCUGCAGAAUGAAUGCAAAUACUGAUUCUGUCUUCUACUGUUGCCCUGAAUAAAGUUCUUUAGACCUGACUGAGGAAUUUCACUCUUCUAACAGCUUCCAUAAAACAGUGACAGACUAAUUUGUUAACUUGCUAGUAAGGUAAAAUUUCAGAUCCUUUCAGUUCUUGAUGCUAAAUUUCAUAUCUCUUAGGAUGA